AACGAACGCUGGCGGCAUGCCUAACACAUGCAAGUCGAACGCUCACCUUCGGGUGGGAGUGGCGCACGGGUGCGUAACGCGUGGGAAUCUGCCCUUGGGUUCGGGAUAACAGUUGGAAACGACUGCUAAUACCGGAUGAUGACUUCGGUCCAAAGAUUUAUCGCCCAGGGAUGAGCCCGCGUAGGAUUAGCUUGUUGGUGAGGUAAGAGCUCACCAAGGCGACGAUCCUUAGCUGGUCUGAGAGGAUGAUCAGCCACACUGGGACAGAGACACGGCCCAGACUCCUACGGGAGGCAGCAGUGGGGAAUAUUGGACAAUGGGCGAAAGCCUGAUCCAGCAAUGCCGCGUGAGUGAUGAAGGCCUUAGGGUUGUAAAGCUCUUUUACCCGGGAUGAUAAUGACAGUACCGGGAGAAUAAGCCCCGGCUAACUCCGUGCCAGCCGCCGCCGUAACAC
rnacentral:rRNA from 1 species